AUCCACCAGAAGAGCCAUACUUUAAAGAAAAUGUGGAUGUUGGUAAAACUUUUGCCAUAACAUGUGAAUCCAAUGGUCAUCCUUCACCAAGUUAUACCAUAAUCCAUAAUAAUACCAAGAUCGUCAGUAAUGACAGGACGUAUACGAUAGAUGUUGUGCAGUACAGUGAUGCUGGGUUAUAUAAAUGUAUUGCAAAGAAUAAACUUGGAAAUAGUUCAACGAUAUAUUAUUUAUCUAUCCUAG